ensembl:miRNA
GUGGUGCAGAUUGCAGCGCCAUUUACAGAGCUAUAAACAUAAUGAUUGUCAUAGCUCUUUGAAUGGUACUGCCAUAUGUACUGGAAUACCAGC